rnacentral:rRNA from 1 species
GGAAUAUUGGACAAUGGGGGCAACCCUGAUCCAGCACUGCCGCGUGUGUGAAGAAGGCCUGCGGGUUGUAGAGCACUUUCAGUGGGGAGGAAGGAGUUGAAGUUAAUAGCUUUAACUAUUGACGUUACCCAACGAAGACGCACCGGCUCACUCUGUGCCAGCAGCCGCGGUAAUACAGAGGGUGCAAGCGUUAAUCGGAAUUACUGGGCGUAAAGGGUGCGUAGGUGGUUUUAUAAGUCAGAUGUGAAAGCCCUGGGCUUAACCUGGGAACUGCAUUUGAAACUAUGAGGCUAGAGUAUGGUAGAGGGAAGUGGAAUUUCCGGUGUAGCGGUGAAAUGCGUAGAUAUCGGAAGGAACACCAGUGGCGAAGGCGGCUUCCUGGACCAUAACUGACACUGAGGCACGAUAGCGUGGGGAGCAAAC